UACGAAGGGGGCUAGCGUUGCUCGGAAUCACUGGGCGUAAAGCGCACGUAGGCGGACUCUUAAGUCGGUGGUGAAAUCCUGGAGCUCAACGUCCAGAACUGCCUUCGAUACUGAGAGUCUUGAGUCCGGGAGAGGUGAGUGGAACUGCGAGUGUAGAGGUGAAAUUCGUAGAUAUUCGGCAAGAACACCAGUGGCGAAGGCGGCUCACUGGCCCGGUACUGACGCUGAGGUGCGAAAGCGUGGGGAGCAAACAGG
rnacentral:rRNA from 1 species